CAGUCGCCACGGUAACACGUAGGUGGCAAGCGUUGUCCGGAAUUAUUGGGCGUAAAGGGCUCGCAGGCGGUUUCUUAAGUCUGAUGUGAAAGCCCCCGGCUCAACCGGGGAGGGUCAUUGGAAACUGGGAGACUUGAGUGCAGAAGAGGAGAGUGGAAUUCCACGUGUAGCGGUGAAAUGCGUAGAUAUCGGAAGGAACACCUGUGGCGAAAGCGGCUCACUGGACCAUUUCUGACGCUGAUGCGCGAAAGCUGGGGGAGCAAACAGGAUUAGAUACCCCAGUAGUCCCUGUCUCUUAUAU
rnacentral:rRNA from 1 species